rfam:Gossypium hirsutum cultivar TM-1 chromosome 9, whole genome shotgun sequence
UGUUAAAAAUUUCAUUCAUUUCUAUUGUUAAGAACGGGCGUGACUAAUGAAAUAAUCAAACAGUCAUAUAUGGUGUACCACGUGCACCUCAUGUUGACGUACAAUGACUAAUUUUUAACAAUAAAAAUAAAUAAAAUUUUUUACA